rnacentral:sRNA from 14 species
AUUUUAGAGAUUGGUUCUACCUCCUCCCAGAGCCAAUCCAAACUCCUCCCAGAGCCAAUCCAAAGUAAUAGGCGGCAUCCACCUCCUCCCGGAUGCCGCCUUUAUU